rnacentral:rRNA from 1 species
AUUGAACGCUGGCGGAAUGCUUUACACAUGCCAGUCGAGCGGCAGCACGGGGGCAACCCUGGUGGCGAGCGGCGAACGGGUGAGUAACACAUCGGAACAUGCCCAGUCGUGGGGGAUAACACUUCGAAAGAAGUGCUAAUACCGCAUACGUCCUGAGGGAGAAAGCGGGGGAUCGCAAGACCUCGCGCGAUUGGAGUGGCCGAUGUCAGAUUAGCUAGUUGGUGGGGUAAAGGCCUACCAAGGCAACGAUCUGUAGCUGGUCUGAGAGGAUGAUCAGCCACACUGGGACUGAGACACGGCCCAGACUCCUACGGGAGGCAGCAGUGGGGAAUUUUGGACAAUGGGGGCAACCCUGAUCCAGCCAUUCCGCGUGAGUGAAGAAGGCCUUCGGGUUGUAAAGCUCUUUCGGCAGGAACGAAACGGUGAGCUCUAACAUAGCUUGCUAAUGACGGUACCUGAAAAAGAAGCACCGGCUAACUACGUG